rnacentral:rRNA from 1 species
GAUGAACGCUGGCGGCGUGCUUAACACAUGCAAGUCGAACGAUGAUCCGGUGCUUGCACCGGGGAUUAGUGGCGAACGGGUGAGUAACACGUGAGUAACCUGCCCUUAACUCUGGGAUAAGCCUGGGAAACUGGGUCUAAUACCGGAUAUGACUCCUCAUCGCAUGGGUGGGGGGUGGAAAGUCUUUUUUGUGGUUUUGGAUGGACUCGCGGCCUAUCAGUCUUGUUGGUGAGGAAUGGCUCACCAAGGCGACGACGGGUAGCCGGCCUGAGAGGGUGACCGGCCACACUGGGACUGAGACACGGCCCAGACUCCUACGGGAGGCAGCAGGUGGGGAAUAUUGCACAAUGGGCGCAAGCCUGAUGCAGCGACGCCGCGU